GGUCCCAUGGUGUAAUGGUUAGUACUCGGGACUCUGGAUCCAGCGAUCCGAGUUCAAAUCUCGGUGGGACCU
rnacentral:tRNA from 1 species